GCCGCUUGGAUGUUGUUGGGCAUUGGCUAUUGAGGGGUGAGGCCUUGUGUUGCUGGUGAACAGCUGUGCAGCAGUCAGUAGACGGAUGCAAGGAAACAGACAAGGAGAGCUUUAGAAUGGACAUCAGGAACAACUUCUUUACAUUGAGGGUGAUCUGGCUGCAGAAGGAAGUGGUGGAUUCACCAUGCCUGGAGAUAUUUAAGAGGAAACAGCUGCCAUGAAGAGAAGUGGAAGAAGAGAAUCCUGGCUGAACUUUUCCCCUGUUUAAUGGUGGUCCCAUCGUCUAAUUUUUUCUUUGCAUUUACUGUUAGAAAUGCCGAUGCAGUAGAAGAUACCUGCUUUGCUGGUUUUCUGAACUCCAAAGUCAGCUUUUACAACUGUAGAGUUAAGGUGACAUUCUUUUAAUUUAUAACUGACAGUGUUUUAUAAUAGUGUCUUCUGUCUCUAAAUGUUCCCCAGAAGUGCAAUUUUGAAACUAGAUUACAGGCACUGUAAUGAAACCAUGGAAACCAUAACUUCAUGAACUUAUUUUUCACUAGCUCAGAACUGAAACUGUUUUCAUCUGUGGAAUGAAAUGCCUGUAAAUAAAUGGCAGCACAAAUAAACAAGUAGGGUUGUGU